rnacentral:rRNA from 1 species
GACGGAGGGUGCUAGCGUUGUUCGGAAUGACUGGGCGUAAAGGGCGCGUAGGCGGCUCGUGAAGUCGGGUGUGAAAGCCCGGGGCUCAACCCCGGAACGGCAUCCGAUACUGGCGGGCUUGAGACCGGGAGAGGAGGGUGGAAUACCCAGUGUAGAGGUGAAAUUCGUAGAUAUUGGGUGGAACACCGGUGGCGAAAGCGGCUCUCUGGCCCGGAUCUGACGCUGAGGUGCGAAAGCGUGGGGAGCGAACAGG